UAAAGCAGGAAAUCUGAGGAGCACAACGAUACCUUUGCCAAUGUGGCCUCCAUCAGCCUACCAACUAUUGCCCGCCUUUUGAGAAGGCACCAGGUAUCUAUGAAACAUAUUUACCUGGUGCCUUUUGAGAGAAACAACGACCGGGUGAAACAAUUACGGGUGAAUAUGUUCAGAGGGUGAUGGAGCUUGAUGCUGCUGUGAACCAUCACAAGUUUCUCUUUGUUGAUGAAGCGGGCUUCAACCUGGCUAAAACCAGACGCCGUGGGCGGAAUAUCAUUUGCCAACAAGCAACCGUUCAAGUGCAUGAAGAAUGUGGGGGAAAAAUCUCCAUGUGUGCUGCCAUAUCAGAUGAUGGGGUGGUAGGACCGUAGGCCCCUUUUGGGGUCCUACACCACUGCUACUCUCAUUGACUUCCUAAAUAUGAUUGAGCCGGUGUGUCAGGGUGAAGAGGUCGCCUAUGUUAUUGUGUGGGACAAUGUUAGGUUCCACCAUGCAGAGGUGGUUCAGGAAUGAUUUUGGGCUCAUCCCCAUUUCCUGUCCCUAUAUCUGCCCCCAUACUCUCCUUUCCUCAACCCUAUUGAGGAAUUAUUUUCAUCAUGGAGGUGAAAAGUCAACAACCACUAUUUCCAUCAGCAUGUGACCCUCCUUCAGACCAUGGAUGAGGCUUGUGAUGACAUCACUGCUGACCAAUGUCAGGCUUGGAUUCAACAUUCAAGAAGAUUUUUCCCAAGUUGCGUGAACUAUGAAAACAUACAUUGUGAUGUGGACGAGAACUUAUGGCCAAAUCCA